UGGGGAAUCUUGGACAAUGGGGGCAACCCUGAUCCAGCCAUGCCGCGUGAGUGAUGAAGGCCUUAGGGUCGUAAAGCUCUUUCGCCUGUGAAGAUAAUGACGGUAGCAGGUAAAGAAACCCCGGCUAACUCCGUGCCAGCAGCCGCGGUAAUACGGAGGGGGUUAGCGUUGUUCGGAAUUACUGGGCGUAAAGCGCACGUAGGCGGACCAGAAAGUUGGGGGUGAAAUCCCGGGGGCUCAACCCCGGAACUGCCUCCAAAACUAUUGGUCUAGAGUUCGAGAGAGGUGAGUGGAAUUCCAAGUGUAGAGGUGAAAUUCGUAGAUAUUUGGAGGAACACCAGUGGCGAAGGCGGCUCACUGGCUCGAUACUGACGCUGAGGUGCGAAAGUGUGGGGAGCAAACAGGAUUAGAUACCCUGGUAGUCCACACCGUAAAACGAUGAAUGCCAG
rnacentral:rRNA from 1 species